CAGUCGCCACGGUAAAACGAAGGGUGCAAGCGUUACUCGGAGUUACUGGGCGUAAAGCGUGCGUAGGUGGUGGUUUAAGUCCGUUGUGAAAGCCCUGGGCUCAACCUGGGAAUUGCAGUGGAUACUGGGUCACUAGAGUGUGGUAGAGGAUAGUGGAAUUUCCGGUGUAGCAGUGAAAUGCGUAGAGAUCGGAAGGAACAUCUGUGGCGAAGGCGACUAUCUGGGCCAACACUGACACUGAGGCACGAAAGCGUGGGGAGCAAACAGGAUUAGAGACCCCUGUAGUCCCUGUCUCUUAUAC
rnacentral:rRNA from 1 species